AAACUGUAGCCAAGUUUAGAUUUUAAUCGUGUAUAACUUUUUAUAACUUUUCGAAAAGAAUUGCGUAUUUCGCUAUGUAGAUGUGAAAGGUGCUACGUGGAAUUGGUGACAUAUGUUCGGAAACAAUUUGCCGUAUUUGCACUUUGUCAUUUUAGCAGGCAGUCGCGAAGAGCUCUUUUCACUUUUGAGUCGACAGGCUCGUUUUAAUUAACCUACAUUCUCUAGAGAAGAGAAGGCUGGUUCCUGUCGCGAGUAUCACACCUAAGCUCAUUAGCAGUGAACUAGAGUCAUAAUCAAUGAGCUCGAUCUCUCGUCUCCCACUUAGACUCUCUAGGCAACUUUUUCCGUUACGCUUACCGUGGUGUAGGCUUAACUAUAAAAGGGAUCAUUCGAAGUCUAUUGUAUGCUACAUUACUUGCGAUAAUGGUGUACGCGAUACUCAAGACAACUUGGCAUAGGCUCAUCAAUAUAUUCAAGGGCAAUUUGCAGGAUCGAAAAAUCUUUAGGAAAACUCUUGCCUAUGAUAUCUGCUAAAGGCUUUAUUGCUUCAAAUAAUUGGAAUUAUAACCAGUAAGAAUAUCAUAUUCGUCCAAGACCGACUCUUUUACACCCAUCACCGUUAACAAAAGAAUGACUAAAAGAGGCAUGCUAUCUUUUAAUUCACAUCUUUAACAUAACAUGUACACAGAAAAACACUUGCAACAAUGUAAUGGGAACACUAUUGCUUACUCAAAUAAAUGCAAUGGUUUUAGAGCGACUUCUCGACCUCAUUUAUCUAAAUUAAACGCAUAACAUUAAAAACCUCUGUACAUGUGAGAAAUUUCCCGAUUCGAACUAUUUCUGCAUUGAAGAUAAUCUUAUAGACAACUCAUGCCUAUUUUCAAAUUGUGAUUUUCUGUGGGAAUAUGCAGACGCAACAUAAAACUCGAAUCUCUUUCAAUUUCUUAAUUAAUUAAAAACUUAACCGUAGAUGACAAUGCACUUGUCUUCAUUCAUAAACCAUGAUUU